UAUUUGUUGCUACAUUUUAAUUUUUUGCAGAGGCAGAAGCAAAGAUACUAUAGCUCUAAGCCUUUAAAGCCCUGAUGAUUGAUUUUUUCUUUUGUGUUAGUGAGCUGUUUUUACAUUAACGUGGUUGCUGCCAGCCACAAAAUACUUUGAUGGGAGGUUGAAAGUGAUUCUGUUGAAUGUUAGAUUAGGCUAGAAGGCAUUGGCCAAUAAUUCACAAACCAUCCGAGGAAGCUGGGCAAAUCCAAUGUAAUCCGUAUAGAUCAUGGAAUGGACCUACCCAAUUGCGGAAGUGAUGGCAUCUGGGGUCCGCCUGUGGUUGGGGAUUGAGAAUUCCUUAACCUAUUUGAAAUGUUUUGUGGUUGUUGCAACUCCUAUUCUCAGGCACCUAUCCAUAUUGUCCUGUUUUCACUCGCCAGCACCACCACCAAGGAGCCCUGGAAUGACAUUAGACCUCAACGAAUUUUUGGCAUAUCCGACGAGGUAUAAGAGGCAUAUUCUGUAUCGGGG
rnacentral:misc_RNA from 1 species